rnacentral:rRNA from 1 species
GAUGAACGCUGACAGAAUGCUUAACACAUGCAAGUCUUUGGUGAAGCUGUGCUUGCACCGCCUAGCCAAGGCGGACGGGUGAGUAACGCGUAAGGAACUUGCCCUGCAGUCAGGGAUAACAGACGGAAACGACUGAUAAGACCUGGUAAAGUCAGGCGGACUCAUGUCCAGCCUGAUGAAAAGAGAUGCUGCAGGAGAGCCUUGCGUCCUAUUAGCUUGUUGGUGGGGUAACGGCCCACCAAGGCACUGAUAGGUAGCCGGCCUGAGAGGGUGGACGGCCACAAGGGGACUGAGAUACGGCCCUGACUCCUACGGGAGGCAGCAGUGGGGAAUAUUGGACAAUGGGGGCAACCCUGAUCCAGCAAUUCUGUGUGCACGAUGAAGGUUUUCGGAUUGUAAAGUGCUUUCAGCAGGGAAGAAAAAAAUGACGGUACCUGCAGAAGAAGCGACGGCUAAAUACGUG